UAUAUUAAGGUGUAUGAUGCAUAUUAGUUUUUGAAACUAUUCGGGAUAGUUUGAUUCUAUCUAAUAUAA
rnacentral:tRNA from 1 species